UACGGAGGAUUCGAGCGUUGUCCGGAUUUAUUGGGCGUAAAGCGAGCGCAGGUGGUUUAUUAAGUCUGGUGUAAAAGGCAGUGGCUCAACCAUUGUAUGCAUUGGAAACUGGUAGACUUGAGUGCAGGAGAGGAGAGUGGAAUUCCAUGUGUAGCGGUGAAAUGCGUAGAUAUAUGGAGGAACACCGGUGGCGAAAGCGGCUUUCUGGCCUGUAACUGACACUGAGGCUCGAAAGCGUGGGGAGCAAACAGG
rnacentral:rRNA from 1 species